GCCAAGUGUUGUGAAGGGUAGACUACACAAAUAGAAUAAUAUGUUUUGACAUUUAAAUAAAGAAGGGAUGGUGACUUUCUGAACUGUUAGAGUUAAACCAAUGGUUUAAAGUAAUAUAGAAACAUAUUGGUAUUUGAGUUGUGAUUGGAUUAUAUUGACCAAAAUGUCAGGUGUUGGAAUUUCCCUGUAACAUCCACCAGAAACAACAAUUUCACAGCUACAAUAGGCUAUUUCUUUAAAUAAAUGCCCCCAGACCCCCCAUUGACCCCAACCCCAAGUUCCACCCUUGGUUGGCCAGCAUAACCCUUUCAAUUCUAACCAAACAAUGUCCAUAAUUUGCCCUGUGGCUGUAGUUGAGAGAUCAAUUCGAGCACUCCAAGAUCUCAAAAUGUAUUCAUUGCAACACUGUGUCAUAAUGCACCCUUACUUUGCGCAAGGCGCACUGACCAUACUGCCAUGUGUGAUGUUAAGAAAAUUAUUUGUUUAUAGGAAAUACACUUUUCAUUUUUUGACCUCCAUGUACUGUGAGAAGAGAUAAUAUGUUUGGGCAAACUUAGAAAAACAUAUCAUAUAGAUCAGAUACAAGCAAUAUAGUGUAUUUUUUAAGAUAUUAGGCUAAUAUUCUACAUGAAAUGUGAAAGGUCAGCCCAUUACUGUGAAACCGGAUUUACCUGUUCUGCACUGGCCUACACAUUCACACAACACAAUGAGCACACCUUGGCCAAUGGCCAUACUAAAGGACUUCCUAUCAGUGGAACUCAGUCAGAUCAUCAAUUCACAGCUAACGGCAAGGUGUAACUGGAGCGGCUGUUGCGUUGAAUGGAGUUCAACCGACCCAAAGCUCCAGGGGGAGGGCCUGGAGAUGGAGAGGGAGGACAAGUUGUCCUGAGCACGCUGGAUGAACUCAAGCCUUGGAGGAGUGAACAGAAGCUUGAAGAGCAUGGAGGGCAAGGAGGGCUGUCUUCAACCGACACCACUAACGCAGCCAAGACAGACCCCAAAGCUCCUGCAGCAGGACCUGGAAAGGUUGACUUGCACUCAUUCCACAGCUCCCCAUCUUCAGACAGCGAGGAGGAGGACAAAUGCAAGAAGGAAAAGAAAAAGAAGCUGAAGAAGAGGAAGAAGAAGGAUUCCAGUUCAUCCUCUUCUUCCUCCUCCUCUGACAGCAGCUCUUCAGACAGUGAAGAUGACAAAAAGAAGAAGAAAAAGAAGAUGAAGAAGAAGAAAGCUGAGGUUGGUAGUUCCAAACUAUCAGCCACAUUGUAUUCUAUGGUAUUGUUGGAUGGUGCAAUGCUCCACACUAUCCCCAUAUGA
rnacentral:lncRNA from 8 species